AUUGAACGCUGGCGGCAGGCUUAACACAUGCAAGUCGAGCGAGCGGCGGCCGGGUGAGUAAUGUCUGGGAAACUGCCUGAUGGAGGGGGAUAACUACUGGAAACGGUAGCUAAUACCGCAUACCAUCAGAUGUGCCCAGCUGGGAUUAGCUAGUAGGUGGGGUAAUGGCUCACCUAUGCGACGAUCCCUAGCUGGUCUGAGAGGAUGACCAGACACACGGGAACGGAGACACGGUCCAGACUCCUACGGGAGGCAGCAGUGGGGAAGAUUGCACAAGGGGCGCAAGCCUGAUGCAGCCAUGCCGCGUGUGUGAAGAAGGCCUUCGGGGUGUAAAGCACUUUCAGCGAGGAGGCGUUACUCGCAGAAGAAGCACCGGCUAACUCCGUGCCAGCAGCCGCGGUAAUC
rnacentral:rRNA from 1 species